rnacentral:sRNA from 1 species
ACACCAGGGUUUCCCUGAGUCUGUGAUUUGAUUUCUGUGUGACUCUGGACUGUUUGUGGUACUGUUUCUCUUCCAGCGGUCAGAUAGCGUCAGACCUGCAUUGAACAGUCCUGUGGAAAGGCCCAGCAGUGACCAGGAAGAGGGAGAAACUUCUGCUCAGACCGAGCGUGUGCCACUGGACCUCAGUCCUCGCCUGGAGGAGACGCUGGACUUUGGCGAGGUGGAAGUGGAGCCCAGUGAGGUGGAAGACUUUGAGGCUCGUGGGAGCCGCUUCUCCAAGUCUGCUGAUGAGAGACAGCGCAUGCUGGUGCAGCGUAAGGACGAACUCCUCCAGCAAGCUCGCAAACGUUUCUUGAACAAAAGUUCUGAAGACGAUGCAGCCUCAGAGAGCUUCCUCCCCUCGGACGGUGCGUCCUCUGACCCCGUGACCCUGCGUCGAAGGAUGCUGGCUGCUGCCGCGGAACGGAGGCUUCAGAAGCAGCAGAC